CCUCAGUAACGGCGAAGUGAAGCGGCAACAGCUCAAAUUUGAAAUCUGGCGGCCUCUGGGCCGUCCGAGUUGUAAUUUGAAGAGGAUGCUUUUGGCGAGGCGCCUUCCGAGUGCCCUGGAACGGGACGCCACAGAGGGUGAGAGCCCCGUAUGGUUGGACGCCGAGCCUCUGUAAAGCUCCUUCGACGAGUCGAGUAGUUUGGGAAUGCUGCUCAAAAUGGGAGGUAAACCCCUUCUAAAGCUAAAUACUGGCCAGAGACCGAUAGCGCACAAGUAGAGUGAUCGAAAGAUGAAAAGCACUUUGAAAAGAGAGUUAAACAGCACGUGAAAUUGUUGAAAGGGAAGCGCUUGCGACCAGACUUGUGCCCGUCGAAUCAGCCGCCGCUCGUCGGCGGCGCACUUCGGCGGGCUCAGGCCAGCAUCAGUUCGCUGCAGGGGGAGAAAGGCGAUGGGAAUGUGGCUCUUCGGAGUGUUAUAGCCCGCCGCGCAAUACCCCUCGGCGGACUGAGGACCGCGCAUCUGCAAGGAUGCUGGCGUAAUGGUCGUCAGCGACCCGUCUUGAAACACGGACCAAGGAGUCGUCCUAAUAUGCGAGUGUUCGGGUGUAAAACCCCUGCGCGUAAUGAAAGUGAACGGAGGUGAGAGCUUCGGCGCAUCAUCGACCGAUCCUGAUGUUCUCGGAUGGAUUUGAGUAAGAGCAUAUUGGGCCGGACCCGAAAGAAGGUGAACUAUGCCUGUAUAGGGUAAAGCCAGAGGAAACUCUGGUGGAGGCUCGCAGCGGUUCUGACGUGCAAAUCGAUCGUCAAAUAUGGGCAUG
rnacentral:rRNA from 1 species